GUUGAUCUCUACCAACUACUACUCACAUUACUGCUCAUUAGCUGUCUUCUCACCCAGAAUGAAAUCAGCUUUGAGAAGAUGUGAAUGUUUAAGAAAUUAAUCAAAAGAUAUCCUUAGAGCCUGGACUCAGUGAAUCAGUCAGAGUAAGACAAAUUAUUGCUCAAAUGCUGCUUUUCAUCCUGUUCACUAAUAAAAACAAAUGCUAUAAAUUGAUUAUUUAUUAUGUACCACAGUGUACUGUGUAUGUUAGGCCUGGCAAAAUGUCAUUUCCACUUUCUUUGGAUUAUUUAAUUGUGCUAAUCAAAUUUCAGGUUCUCUGGUUCUAAGUGGAAGAUUCAUCAUUUUUGUCUCUUUGCAGUCCAAAUAAAGACUAGAGUCCCCUUAUUUCAGCUUACACUUUUACUUUUUAAUUUAUUCAACUCACU
rnacentral:lncRNA from 1 species